rnacentral:lncRNA from 1 species
GGCCGGGGGCGGGGCCAGCUGGACCAGGGGCCUCUGGACCCCUGGCCAGCCCCGGCCGACUAGGUGGGCCUCGUGAUCGGAUCCUCGGUGUGGCCUCGUGGCCACCAGGAAUCCCAGUGCUGGACGCGCCCCAGGAGACCAGCGCCUCUCCCGACUGGAGAACGCUGGAGGGUCCUGCCAGGUGAGAAGCCAAAGUCCAGAGGUCACGUGACGAGGCCAUCUUGUGGGAAGUUGGGAGCCAGGCUUCCAGGCCCGGCCUGCCACAGCGCACGCCUCUCCCGUUUAGGAGAGGACCACGGGAUGACAGGGAGACGCGUGUGAGGAGCACAGCCAGCCUCGUCUGCUGCAGACCCCGGGGCGAGGGGCGCUGGUACCGGACCCCUCCCUCUGGCCCUGAAAACCACAAAGAGGGCCCGAGAGUGAGGGGCAGGAAAGGGGAAAUCAUGGGGAGUGAGGACUGCCGACAGACCUCAGAGCAGGAAGUGUUGCCACGCCUGGAGUUAGAUCAUUUUUGGAGGGCGAGGGGACUUCAUCCCUCCUCGCCAAGGGCCCCUCCUCCGCAGAAAGCCGAAGGGUGGGCAGUGACAACUGAAAGCACGCGGGAGGAGGCAGACAAUCGGAAAGACAGGCCUUUGGGUCCCCGAAAGCCACAGUAGGAGUAGGUGUGAACGAGACAAGAGGUAGGAAAAGAAGAGGUCGUUUAUUCCUUUGCCCUGAGGGGAGGGGCCGUGGACUAAGCCAAUAGAAAGAGGGAUGAAGCAUCUGCCCCUGUCGUGCACGGUGCUGGCUCCAACCCAUUCUUCCUCCACUAGAGCUUUGUACUCAGCAAACACCCCCCACCCCCUACCCCAGUCAGCCAGGAAGGGCAGAGGGACACAUCUGCUGAUGGGAAGACAUCUUUUAGAUGCGAGCCGCCGUUCUGAGCACUUUACGCACGCAUUAGCUCAGUGCUCAUAACAGGCACGAGGUGGGCAACAGUACACCUUCAUUUUACGAACCCGGAAACUGAGGCCCAGAGCGCUGUCUUGCUCUGCUACAGGUCACAGUAAGCAGCGGCGGGUGGAUGCCCUGAGCCUGCGGCUUCUCUCCAGACCUGUGGACCACCUGUGACCUUGACCCGCGCCUCCCGGGCCUGCGCCUCAGUCUGCGCCUCUGUAAAGCGAGAAGAUUGGGCCGAUGCUCCCCCAGAUCCCUUCCAGACGCAAAGGCAAAGACGAGGCGUGCGGGUCCUCCCCGCGCCACCGCGGCCCACUCACCCCUCAGCCCACGGCCCUCAGCCAGCCCCACGCAGGGCCUCGCGCGCUCGCC